CUACGGAGGGAGCUAGCGUUGUUCGGAAAUACUGGGCGUAAAGCGCACGUAGGCGGCGCAGCAAGUCAGGGGUGAAAUCCCGGGGCUCAACCCCGGAACUGCCUUUGAAACUGCAGUGCUAGAAUCUUGGAGAGGCGAGUGGAAUUCCGAGUGUAGAGGUGAAAUUCGUAGAUAUUCGGAAGAACACCAGUGGCGAAGGCGAGUCGCUGGAGAAGUAUGGUCGCUGAGGCGGGAAAGCGUGGGGAGCAAACAGGAUUAGAUACCCGGGUAGUCCACGCCGUAAACGAUGGAUGCUAGCCGUCGGCAAGCUUGCUUGUCGGUGGCGCAGCUAACGCAUUAAGUUAUCCGCCUGGGGAGUACGGUCGCAAGAUUAAAACUCAAAUGAAUUGGCGGGG
rnacentral:rRNA from 1 species